GGGGAUAUAGCUCAGUGGCAUAAGUGCCUGCCUGGAAAGCUGAAGGUCCUGGGUUCGAGUCCAGGUACCA
rnacentral:tRNA from 1 species